AGCAGUAGUGGUUUUUACCAUUUUCUUUCAAAUUUUGGUUUUGAUUGGACAGUUUUCAUUUUUGAGCUUAACAACACAGCAAGAAAAAAUUUCAUAGGAUUAGUCGACACCGCAGUAUCGCCCUUCUUCACGCAAGCGACGGAGUUUUUAUGUUUUUAUAUCUGAGAAAGACAAGCCAUUCCUGUUUCUUUUGUUCUCAACCCAGGUGAAGCUCAAGGAAGAACUCGAUUUAUAAAAGGAGCAAGGAGGAGAAGAGAAAGACAUCAUCACUACAAGCUUGAGAGCUUCCGACUACUUGUUUAUCAAACUUUGCUUUUCUUUUCGGUUAAGGCUUAAACACUUCAAUAAAACGGAAUCUUAGACCCCUAAAUCUCUUUUAUUAUUGUUUGAACAGUCGUCAAACUA